UCUCUGAGUNGGAAGCUUGGUUAACCUAGCUACAAUGUUGUAUCUCAAUUCCAUCCGUAUGCCUUCUAUUAUAGCAUACGCUGUCUGUGCAUUCUUUGGCUUCCAAGUCCUCUUUGGCCUUUUGAAAGUUAAGAAAUUGGAUCAACGAGAAAAAUUGAUCACAGGAACAGCUUGAACAAAUGGUUACCCUGGGAGAUCAUAUAUGGGAACUGCUAUUCCAGUAAUCCUUGAAAAAGCAGAAAUAACGUGGAGGAGACGUAACGGAUCGUUGAGUAUUUAUAGAGCACGCCCAUGGCGUAGAGUUGCCAGUUUUGUCAUUCAGCUUUAAGAUGCAUCAUGUGGUAAGGCUUCCAAUGUGGAGGUUAACUUCUAAUUUUGUUGGCCUAGCAGAUUGUUGUAUUUGCCCCAUCUCCACUAGAGAGCACUCCUGUGAAGUAGACCGAGGAAGAAGUCAUUCAUGUCGUAUGAUACCCAUUUUGACCUUCUAUAGCCUUAGUGUAUAGGUAUACAAAAUCUAGGAGAUAAAUGUAACUAAUGUUAGCCUUAUCUACCUUCAACCUUAUUCGUGGAGUUCGAUUCCCUUGAAUUUGUGUAUAAUACAACGUGAGAAGCAAUGUCAUAAAAGUACUCUAGGGAUCAAAUAUGGCAUUGAGCUAACCGUACUUUGUAUUGGUUCUUUGUAUUUAUAUUAGCAUGUCAUUUGUACUAUUUAGUUUCAAUUGCAAGAACGUCGAACAAAUACAAUGUUGGGGAAGACUUGAUCUCAUAAGUAAAACUUCAAUUAAGGAGCAGAUGGUAGCAAGUCUUCUUGAAGUA